rnacentral:rRNA from 1 species
GAUGGACUCGCGUCCCAUUAGCUAGUUGGUGAGGUAACGGCUCACCAAGGCGACGAUGGGUAGCCGAGCUGAGAGGCUGAUCGGCCACACUGGAACUGAGACACGGUCCAGACUCCUACGGGAGGCAGCAGUGGGGAAUAUUGGGCAAUGGGCGAAAGCCUGACCCAGCAACGCCGCGUGAAGGAAGAAUGUUUUCGGAUUGUAAACUUCUGUCCUUGGGGAAGAAAAAAAUGACGGUACCCAAGGAGGAAGCCCCGGCUAACUACGUGCCAGCAGCCGCGGUAAUACGUAGGGGGCUAGCGUUGUCCGGAAUUACUGGGCGUAAAGGGAGCGUAGGCGGUAAUGUAAGUCAGAUGUGAAAUACCCGGGCUUAACCUGGGGGGUGCAUCUGAAACUGUGUUACUUGAGUGCAGGAGAGGUAAGUGGAAUUCCUAGUGUAGCGGUGAAAUGCGAAGAUAUUAGGAGGAACACCAGUGGCGAAGGCGACUUACUGGACUGUAACUGACGCUGAGGCUCGAAAGCGUGGGGAGCAAACAGGAUUAGAUACCCUGGUAGUCCACGCU